CCUACGGGAGGCAGCAGUGAGGAAUAUUGGUCAAUGGACGCAAGUCUGAACCAGCCAUGCCGCGUGCAGGAAGACGGCUCUAUGAGUUGUAAACUGCUUUUGUACGAGGGUAAACGCAGAUACGCGUAUCUGUCUGAAAGUAUCGUACGAAUAAGGAUCGGCUAACUCCGUGCCAGCAGCCGCGGUAAUACGGAGGAUUCAAGCGUUAUCCGGAUUUAUUGGGUUUAAAGGGUGCGUAGGCGGGCGGAUAAGUUAGAGGUGAAAUCCCGAGGCUCAACUUCGGAAUUGCCUGUGAUACUGUUAGGCUAGAGAGUAGUUGAGGUAGGCGGAAUGUAUGGUGUAGCGGUGAAAUGCUUAGAGAUCAUGAAGAACACCGAUUGCGAAGGCAGCUUACCAAGCUACUUCUGACGUUGAGGCACGAAAGCGUGGGGAGCAAACAGGAUUAGAUACCCUAGUAGUC
rnacentral:rRNA from 1 species